rnacentral:rRNA from 1 species
GACGAACGCUGGCGGCGUGCUUAACACAUGCAAGUCGAACGGUGAAGCGCCUUCCUUUUUGGUGGGUGUGGAUGAGUGGCGAACGGGUGAGUAACACGUUAGUAACCUGCCCCCUUCUUCUGGAUAACCGCAUGAAAGUGUGGCUAAUACGGGAUAUUCUGGGUCUGUCGCAUGAUGGGUCUGGGAAAGAUAUUGUUUCGGUGGGUGAUGGGCUCGCGGCCUAUCAGCUUGUUGGUGGGGUGAUGGCCUACCAAGGCGGUGACGGGUAGCCGGCCUGAGAGGGUGGACGGUCACACUGGGACUGAGACACGGCCCAGACUCCUACGGGAGGCAGCAGUGGGGAAUAUUGCACAAUGGGCGCAAGCCUGAUGCAGCGACGCCGCGUGAGGGAUGGAGGCCUUCGGGUUGUGAACCUCUUUCGCCAGUGAAGCAGGCCUGCCUCGUUUGUGGGUGGGUUGACGGUAGCUGGAUAAGAAGCGCCGGCUAACUACGUG